GUGUAAAGUCUUCUCAUCUCAACUUGAAGAAAAGCUCUGUCAAUGUAGACGGGUGGACCUUGUUCCCCCUGAAAACAAUGCUCCAUCCCUUGUGAAUUACACCUAUGUAAGUCCCCAAAAUGGUAUGUCAUCAAAACCAGAGUUUGCACAGUAGCCCUAGUACUAGGGUGAAAGAGGAGAACAAGGGAAGGCAAGGAAUACUGAAAAAGAACCAGCAACUAAAGAAACAAAACAACCAAAUGAAAGGGGAGAACAAGAGAAGGCGAGGUAUACUGAAAAAGAACAAAAGACGCAGAAAAAAAAGAUACCAAGUGGUAUUUGCAGAGGAAACAACUAUUAUGGGGACAAAUGACAGAUAACAAAAACAAACCAAGAAAUACUUCAGCCUUCACAAGCCUUUUGCAAAAAUGAGACCUAAGUCCUUUGACUGAUCCUAAGAGACAACAACUGAAUGCAAGAUCCAGAAAAAAACAUCAACACCAGUGUCAAUAAACCUUUAAAAGAUAAAA